rnacentral:misc_RNA from 1 species
AUAAAAUUUAAUUUAAUUGGAUUCUAAAAUUUUCAGAUUUCAAAUUUACGACAAUAUUAUUUAACCAAAAGAAAAAUAAAUCUCAAUGCUACUUUCUCUAGCUAGAUUUAGAGAGGAAGCCUAGCCCAGAAAAUAGCCUCCUUAUUGCAUGAAAAAGUUCUAUCAUCAGUGCCCAAUACAAACGGGCUUGCAAGAGUACAAAUACCGAGACAGGAAAGAAAACAAGAACAUAAAUGAGAAUUGUCGUCCAUUGUUUAUCCGUACCAAUGAUUAGUAAUAUGGUGGCUCCGAAUGUAAGCAUGGUCGAAAUCAUCGAUAGCGUGAGCAAAGUGAAACCAAGAACAAGCUUGUGAGGGAUGGAGCGACGGAAAUCAUCGAAUUCAAGCGGAUAAGUGUGAAUAGAGAGGAAAGCCAAAAUCGUGGCCAAAGAGAAAACCAAGGAAAUAACAUCCAUGAUGGUGAAGAGCAAGAAAUAAGGAGAAUCGCGUAAAACGGGAGACCCCUUAUCAUUCAAACCUCCUGGUAUGGUGAAGACAGCAGCAAAAACCACAGCGACAACUAGAGCAGCAACAGUAAAGCACGCCUGAGAGGUUUCUUUUAUCCAUUCCUGCGCCUCUUUGAGUUGUGCUUUGUGCGUUCUUUUAAAGAUCUCUUUUGCAUUCAACUGUAAAUCUUCAGCAUCAUUUUCUACUCUAUAAGUUACUCGAUGCAUGACAUAAUGAGAGGGAACUAUCCUCUUCACGCGCUACAUGGAGAGAAUAAGAUCGAAUUUCUCAAAAUAGAUAUAUAAUUACAAGUGUAUGCUGCAAAGAUUAGUAGUGACAAGUUAUAAUUAUGCUUGUUUUAUUUUCUUAAAUGUUAGUUAAUAAUUAAUUAAGGAUAAUGGUACCAAUGAGAAGCUUACCUCAAACCACAUUAACUCUUCUUGCAAUUGAAGUGCAGGACCAGGCCUCGUGCCUUCGGUGUUGAAUUCAGUGGACGCAACUUGGUGCAACAAGGUAUAACCUUUAUCGGCAAAUGCUUCAGUCAUCCUCUUCCACUCUAUUUCGGCCAUAUAUCCUCUUAACUUGUGGAAAAUUUCUUUGCGUCGGUGCAAUACGGCCACAUGCAAUAUGUUCUGUUGCUUGUCAUUUAGCUGAUCAAUAACCAUAGGAUAUUCCUGGAUUGUUUCACGAACGAUCUCCACUAUUCCCAUCUCAGUAGCAGUAAAUAAAAGCGUUUCACAACGCUUUGGAUCAGUUGUUAAUUUAAUUAGCGAUCUGGCAAGUUUCAAAGCAAAUGUGUGCUUUCUCUUUUCUUUCCAGAUUUUUCCCACCAUCGGCCAGCCUUUCAUGAAUUUCCAGAUUGAUUGGAUUGUGAUUGUUUUCUUUUAGAACUUUAUGUUCAAUUGCUAUUUCAGUAGUCACGGCGCUCCCCCCCAUCUCCAAAUCCUGCUCCCGCAUUGAAGACUGUCCAAGUGUGUCACUAACUUCGGUCUCAGUCUCGUCAUGAACAGGAAGGCAUUUGUAUAAUAAGCUUUCAAAAACGCCCAUGGUGUGUCCACUCUUGAAAGCGGACGGCAUAUUAGCGAGAGCUUCAAGAAUAGUCCUGCCAGAUAUGUCCUUCAACAGCCAAGGUCGUUUAUCAUUCUCCAACCGCCAAAGAGAUUUAUUAUCCUCCAGCCGCCAGAGUGAUUCAUAAAGUUUCAGCAACAGCAAAGCGGUGUCAAAGUGUUCUCCUUCCAUGGCAACUUGAAGAAUAGAUUUUUCACCAUCAAAUCUUAUCAUAGAUUGUGCUAAAAUCAUUCUCUUGUCGGCAUUUUCUCCAUAAUUAAAUUUAGUUAACAACUUGACUAUUUCUUUCUGGCCAAAUGCAGCUGCUGUAAAUAUUGGGUUCUCGCCCAAAAUAUUUUUCAUCUUAAUUAGCUCGAUUGGCUCGUAAUGGUCAUUCAAUAUGAUUUCCGUUACUUCAGUGUUUCCAGUGGCUGCUGCCUCAUGAAGAAUUGUGUUUCCAUUUCCAUUCCUCUUAAAGAAGAAAUCAUCGACCAUUGAGCAAGGCCGGGCAAUUUCUUUUAGAGUUACAAAUGGUUUCUUCGUCUUGCUGUGGAUUGCCAUAUGAAAUACUGUAUCUCCGCCGGUAUUUAGUGUGUCCAGCAGGCAAUCAGGGUAUUUUUUGUAGAAUUCUAUCACACUUUUCCAUUUUCCUUUUGCGAUAUCUUGCAAGUUCCUCCGCCAUUGUUCAAUCGUAGGCAUUUUGAUUUUCCUUUCAGUAUCCUGGUUCUCUUGUGCCGGUGGAGGCUCCAGUUGUAUAGACUCAACAGAACUUUCAAUAUCCUGGAGGGCCUGUUGUGAUGGUGGAGGCUCCGGAUUGCUCAUUUGCAUAGACUCAAAAAAACUAAAAAU